GGUCUGGGAAGGGCUUCCACUUCUCCCUCGCCCCUGCCCAGGCCAUUGGUCCUUCGAACUGCUCACCGCCUCGGGCCCUCCCCUCAGGCUUCCGCACCGCUCUCCUGCUCUGAACCCCUCCUCGGUUCCCCAGGCACUCGGCGCGCUCCUGGGGGAAGGCCCGGGCCGUGCCCUGUGUGCACACGCGCCCGGAAUGCGCCCCGCCUCCCCGCCAAUCCGCCCCGUGCGCGCGCCCCCCUCGCAGAACGCUGCAGGCGCUGAGCCGAGACCCGGGAGGGAAGGGAAAGCCGGUGCCCGCCCGAAACCUGGGGUGCCGGCCGUAACCACACCAAAGACCUGCGAGCAAGCGCCCUCGACUCGGACAAAACCUGAUGAGGCUUUCCCCGAGAGCCCGGCCGGGCCCGCGCAGACGUCCCUGGGGCGGAGACGCCUCUGAGGAAACUAGCUCGAGUCUCAAAAAGGCUGGCACCUGAGAUUCGAUGAAAUACGGUACUUCCUCCAGGGGCCGGCGGGCUCCGCCCCUCGGGCGCAGCCCCUCCCCGUGGCGCCCAGCCCCGCUCCUUCCGCACAGGCGCGGGAUCGCGGAGCUCGCGCCCCGCCGCGCCCCUGGCGCUCCGCCCACCCCUCCUGCGCAGGCGCGGAGCCGCCGGGCCCGCCGCUCGUGCUCAGGACACGCGCGAACGCGGCGAUGGCGGAUCCUGAGCUGCAGCUAGUGGCGCGGCGUAUCCGCAGCUUCCCCGACUUCCCCGUCCCCGGCGUGCUGUUCAGGGAUAUCUCGCCUCUCCUGAAGGACCCCGACUCCUUCCGCGCCUCCAUCAGUCUGUUGGCGAAUCACCUGAAAAAGGCCCACGGGGGCAGGAUUGACUACAUCGCGGGCAAGUGGAGCGGCCGGCGUCCGCCGGGUCCCCGCGGCUGCUCACCGCUGUCACGCCCCGUGAGGGCGCAGCAUCGGGGGCUCUUUUUCUUGGGCAGGGCAGGCGCGGGGAGGGUGGUCCCACCGCUUCUGCUGGCGGGAGGACGGGGGCGGCGUGUCGGGGGUCCUUCGGGGAACCCGCCGGGGCCGCGAAGGCGUGUGGGUUGUCAUAACAGGCCUGCUGCCCCCCCUGGCAGCUCGGAGAGGGGUGGUAGCCCCGCACCCCCGGGUUCCCGGUCCCCAGCCCUGGAAAGGUGGGGCCGCAGGGAACUGCCCUGGGAAUGUGCCCAGAAUCCACCGGGGCCAGCCCGCUUUCCCGUUCCCCUUCUGUCAUCGCGUAUUGCGCGCACGCAGACCCUCGCCCCGGUGGAAGGUUUUAGGCAAGCCCAGGCCUGGGAGGACCCUGGCAGGUGGUGUCCCUCCUUGAGCGCCCCGCCCCUGAUCCUCCGGUCGCUCCCGGAGGGCCUGAGGGGCCCCCGUAUUGGCCUGAAGGCAGGGAGAGGCUGCGACUGGCGAAUCCUGUGGCGGACUCUUGCCUCCAGAAGCCUUCCCCGCAUUCCUGGGCGAGGCCGAGGCCCUGAGCUUCCCCUUCACAGCUCGGUCCACCCCGGUGCCGGUGCCCGGUCACUGCCUCUCCUGGACCGGGAGCUCCUGGGGCAGACCCUCCCUGCCUUUCAGCUAGCAGCCACCUCUGGUGUGCCGCUGAGCUUUAGAGAGGGGUCAGGGACUCGCCCAAGGCCACACAGCUGUUUACCAAGCACUGGGAUGGCCCCCGCCUGGCUCCCGAGCUCCGCUCACCAGCCCCCAGCGCGCCCUGUGCGUGGUAGCACCAGCGUUCCCAAGCGAGGGGUGGCAUAGGCCUUACCUUUGGAGCUAACAAAGGCACACGUCCUGUGUGGUGAUAGCUGCUUGUCACUGUCCAGUCCUGACCCAUGGGUACAACAGUGCUGCCCUGCCACACAGCUGCCCGCCCAACACCCCAGGUCUCGCCGACAGGCCUAGACUCCCGCGGCUUCCUGUUUGGUCCCUCCCUGGCCCAGGAGCUGGGCUUGGGCUGCAUUCUCAUCCGGAAGCGAGGGAAGCUGCCGGGCCCCACCGUGUCUGCCUCGUACGCGCUGGAAUACGGGAAGGUGAGAAGGCUGCGGGCAGGGCUGCCUCCGUGGACCCAAGUGGAGCCGCCAAGGUUGGCGUGGACCCGGGAGCUGAGACGCUCAGGAGCUGGGCCGGGCUGACAGAGCCAGGAAACAGGGCUGAGCUGGAGAUCCAGAGAGACGCCCUGGAACCAGGACAGAGGGUGGUGGUUGUGGACGACCUGCUCGCCACUGGCGGAACCAUGCGUGCAGCCUGUGAGCUGCUGGGCCAGCUGCGGGCCGAAGUGCUAGAGUGCGUGAGCCUGGUGGAGCUGACCUCGCUGAAGGGCAGGGAGAAGCUGGGGGCCGUGCCCUUCUUCUCCCUUCUGCAGUUCGAGUGACCCUGCCUCUGCCCACCCCACCUGCCAGAGGGCCAGCCUGGUGGCUGCAGCGACGCCCUCCACAGGCCACCCGGGGGGCACUGGCCGCUCGCCUGGACUAUUUUCUUUCGGCAGUUGAGGGACUUUCUCCAAGGCCAGCCUCUGCCCAUGGCCUUCCUGCAGGCUCUGGAAGUGCCAAGGCCUGGAGUCGGGGCUGGAACUGGCCAACCCCCAGGCUGCUGCAGGCUAGUAGGUGGUGGAGUGGGGAAGAAUAAACAACUUUCUAGAGCA